rnacentral:rRNA from 1 species
UACGGAGGGUGCUAGCGUUGUUCGGAAUCACUGGGCGUAAAGGGCGUGUAGGCGGUCUGUUAAGUCUGAUGUGAAAUCCCCUCGCUCAACGAGGGAACUGCGUCGGAUACUGGCAGACUUGAGUACCGGAGAGGAAGGUGGAAUUCCCGGUGUAGCGGUGAAAUUCGUAGAUAUGGGGGAGGAACACCGUGGCGAAGGCAAUCCCCUGGGCCUGCACUGACGCUCAUGCACGAAAGCGUGGGGAGCAAACAGG